UACGUAGGGUGCGAGCGUUGUCCGGAAUUAUUGGGCGUAAAGAGCUCGUAGGCGGUUUGUCGCGUCUGCUGUGAAAACUCGGGGCUUAACCCCGGGCCUGCAGUGGGUACGGGCAGACUAGAGUGCGGUAGGGGAGACUGGAAUUCCUGGUGUAGCGGUGAAAUGCGCAGAUAUCGAGAGGAACACCUGCGGCGAAGGCGGGUUGCUGGGCCGACACUGACGCUGAUGCGCGAAAGCCAGGGGAGCGAACGGG
rnacentral:rRNA from 1 species